AUGCUUGCUUCGGCAGCACAGAUACUAAAAUUGGAAUUACAGAGAUUAGCAUGGCCCCUGUGCAAGAAUGGCAUGUAAAUUUAUGAAGCAUUCCAUAUUUUU